rnacentral:rRNA from 1 species
UACAGAGGUCUCGAGCGUUAGGCGGAAUCACUGGGCUUAAAGCGUGUGUAGGCGGCGUGCUAAGUACCUUGUGAAAUCCCACGGCUCAACUGUGGAACUGCUUGGUAUACUGGUUCGCUUGAGCAACCUAGGGGCGAGCGGAACAAAUGGUGGAGCGGUGAAAUGCGUAGAUAUCAUUUGGAACGCCAAUGGUGAAAACAGCUCGCUGGGGGUUUGCUGACGCUGAGACACGAAAGCCAGGGGAG